AUGAGGAAGGGGUACACAGGUGGCUGCAUGGCAUCUUUGAAGAGAAAGACAGACUUCUUCAAGAUUUCUACUCAACUGAUCCAAGCAAGCGAGGGCGCCUUGGUGACAAUGGUGGAGUCUCUAAACUGAGCCUGAAAAAGACACUACCAGCUCUUCUGUUUUCAUGCGGAAUUGGAAUACCAAUAUUUUUAACAAAGCCUUGCCGAGAUCUGUACUGGCAAAUAUGGCUGUUUGGAACAUUAUUCUGUAGUCUGUACAUGCGUUCAACAACAUAAAAUUUAAAAGUGUAAAACAAAUAUGGUGUCUCAAAGGAUGUUUAUGAAUAACCAACUGUUGUCGUCCAGUGCCAGUGACAAAUAUUCAGAUUCAGAUAUCAUUUAUUAUGAUAAGGCAAUCCAUAUGGAAUACUUUUACAAACUUGGAAUGAAUUACAAACGACACUUAAUAAAAUACAAUGCAAAAUGCUAACAACAGAUACGGAUAUUAAUUAUUAAAAUUAUACUGUAUAUAGUAAUAAAGUUUUAAAAAUAUA